rnacentral:rRNA from 1 species
CACUCCUGCGGGAGGCAGCAGUGGGGAAUUUUGGACAAUGGGCGAAAGCCUGAUCCAGCCAUGCCGCGUGCAGGAUGAAGGCCUUCGGGUUGUAAACUGCUUUUGUACGGAACGAAACGGCCUUUUCUAAUAAAGAGGGCUAAUGACGGUACCGUAAGAAUAAGCACCGGCUAACUACGUGCCAGCAGCCGCGGUAAUACGUAGGGUGCAAGCGUUAAUCGGAAUUACUGGGCGUAAAGCGUGCGCAGGCGGUUAUGUAAGACAGUUGUGAAAUCCCCGGGCUCAACCUGGGAACUGCAUCUGUGACUGCAUAGCUAGAGUACGGUAGAGGGGGAUGGAAUUCCGCGUGUAGCAGUGAAAUGCGUAGAUAUGCGGAGGAACACCGAUGGCGAAGGCAAUCCCCUGGACCUGUACUGACGCUCAUGCACGAAAGCGUGGGGAGCAAACAGGAUUAGAAACCCUGGUAGUCCCAUG